UUCGCCCGCUUCCGGUCGUCGUCGUCGUCGUCGCCGCUGCUGCUGCUGCUACUGCUGCUGCUGAGGCUGCUGGCGGAGGCCGGAGGGACGGGCGGCGGCGGCGGCGGCGGCUGAGAGGGCGGCGGCGGGAGCGGAGCGGGACGAGGGAGCGAGAGGAAGCGAGCGAGGAGCGAGCGGAGCGCGCCGAGCCCCGCCCGCCCUUCCGCCCGCCGGAGCAGCCGGAGCAGCCCGGGCCCCCAGCCGCCGCCGCCGCCGCCCGCCCGCCUGUCCGCCCGCCGGACAAAGCCCGAGAGCCCGCGCCCAGAGCCAUGUCCUCGUCCGCCGGCAGCGGCCACCAGCCCAGCCAGAGCCGCGCCAUCCCCACCCGCACCGUGCCCAUCAGCGACGCCGCGCAGCUACCUCAUGACUAUUGCACCACGCCCGGGGGGACGCUCUUUUCCACCACGCCGGGAGGAACUCGAAUCAUUUAUGAUCGAAAGUUUCUGUUGGAUCGUCGCAACUCUCCCAUGGCUCAGACCCCGCCCUGCCAUCUGCCCAAUAUCCCAGGAGUCACCAGCCCCAGCACCUUAAUUGAAGACUCCAAAAUAGAAGUAAACAAUUUGAACAACUUGAACAAUCAUGACAGGAAGCAUGCAGUUGGAGAUGAUGCUCAGUUUGAGAUGGACAUCUGACUGUCCUGCGAGGAUCAGAAGAAAAGCAGCAAGCAACACUGAUACACGUGUGUACCUGAUUUGGCCAAUAGGAUCAACAAUGCAAAGACAGAAGAGGCAGUACCAGCAAUCCCUAUUGCAGUCUCCUACUCCUGCUCCCCUGCUCCUUCUCCGGGUGCCAAAGGAUGCAAAGAUGAGCUGCAUCUGACCAUUUCUUCUCCCUAUUUCCUGUUCCCCUUCCCAGUUAGACAGAUUGAAGGCCCUUGGCAUAUUUCUGUAGAACUAAGCAGCCCACAGAGGAAAACAGUUAACCUCUGGUUCCCCCUUCCCCCCAUUUUUUUUUCCCCCCAUUUUUUUUUUAAUCCCAAAUCAAAUACCAGCCUACCAAUAAUUGGCUGGCUGGGAAGUCUGGGGAAGUGAUAUGGAGGUUUGAUAGGUUCAGCAUCAUUCCUGUUCUUAUCCUUUGUCUCUCCUCCCUGUCUUGCUCAUGUUUCACUGCUGCAAAAGUCUGGGUUUGGGGUCUUGAAAACCAUUGGAGGGAAAUGGUAAACAGGAAGAGAGCUGCUUUCUCUUUUACCUUGAGGUGUUUGUCCUUGGGGACAGAACGCUGUUUGUACAUCUCUGGUAGCAUUACCCUGGGGCACUGUUUUGAGGUCCACUUCCCCUCCUUCCUCUGGGAGGAAUGUCUUCUGUCUUUAGUAUUAUAGUGCAUCUUCCCAUUCGUUUACUUAUCACAAUUGUGCAAACAUUUCUUAACUCUACAUCAGAAGGGGGUCUUUGGUCACCAGCUGUUCUUUCCUCCCCUUCUCCCAUCCCUCCCUGCUUGCAUCUUGUUGCUUGCAGUCCUUUUGUACUCUGAGCUAUCCACGUGAUUUCUCCUGCUCCUGGAGCAGGUCCCUACGACAGGACAGAGGCUCUUUGGAUAAGGCCCGAUGUAUUGGGUUGAUCAAAAAGUUCGUUCUGGUUUUUCCGUAAGAUGUUACAGAAAAACCAGAAUGAACUUUUUGGCCAACCCUAUAGUCCUCUGCAGGAUGAUACCCAGGAAUGACCUCGGAAGACAUUGAACUGUUUGAGUACCCAGGCUCAGUAGUCAUUGUUUUUCAGUCCAGUGAGCAUUGUGAUAUUUGUUGUCUGUGAUUUUUGAGUUUGAAGUUGACUUUCAGAAUGCUCUUAGAAAAGAACUAAACUUUUUUCCUUUGUGGACCUGCUUUGUUUGGCUGCUGAGAUAGAGAAGCAUGGGCUUAAAAAUGCGUUCCUUCCACUUUUCUUACCUUUCCCAUGGUACUCUGAAUUUCCCUAUCUUUCCCUCCCUCCCUCCCGCCUUCCUUCCUUCCCUCCCUUAUCUCUGCCAGGCCAUUUUUCAUAUGUACAUCCAGGAUACCUCAAGUGUUGGUAUCUGAUAAUACCUGUCACUCCUCUUAACUGAGGAGUGACCUUUUAUUUUUAAGAUGAGUACAGACCUAUUUUUAGAUGUUUUCAGUACAGUUUUGAACAGCAACUUUUUAAUUACACAUCUUCCGGUGUUAGGAAGGUGAGAAUUGUCCGUAGGCGAGUCUGCUGUUCCAUGUCACCAUCCCUUGUCUUCCCUAGUCCCUUACGAGCUCUUUCCUUCUCGCUCUAGUUUUGGGUGUGCAUGUUUGGAGUUUGUAGUGGGUGGAUUGUGAAACUGGACCAUUCUGCCUUCCCUGGGUUGUUCAUGGAAACCUCAUUCUUUUCCCUUACCCUUUGCUGCUUCAUUCCCCAUCCCAUGGUCCUAUUGACUGGCACAGUAAUCCUGGGAGAGUGACUCCCCUCAUAGAAAGACAAGUAAAAUAGCCACUGGUGUCCUGGGAAUUUCUGGUUGGAUUUGGUGCCCUGAACCCUCUUAUUAAGAGAUCAGAUCCCAGGGUGAGAGUAACAGGCCAGUUGGCUAAGAUAGAAAGCUGUUUUUCUUUUGAACUAUGAAAAGACCCUGUUUGCGAAUACAUUUUAGACAGAAAGAAGGAAGGAUGUCUGAGGAACUUUGUUCUGUUUUCUGCUACAAAAUGUGAAGAGUUCAAAAAGUGAAACCUUUUGUGAUGGUUGAUGUCUCUCAGGAAUAAGCUGGGUCUCCAGAGUUUUGGAGAUGCUUUCAGUCUCAACAAUUGAUGAAUGGAAAAGUAUUUUUUGUUUGCUUUUUAAUGUAUCUCUGUUCUGAUUUUAAUUAAACUCCAAAUUUCACUUUACAUAUUCUUGGAACAACUUAAGGUGCAUUGGUAAUUUGCAUGAGAAGCUUGCUCAGGACCUCAUUGUCCCCUGGGAGCUUGAUUCUUUGGGAGUGACGCUUUCAUCCUCCUCAGGGCCCGGCCUGGGCAUCCUCUGGAGUCUGACUCCACUACAGCGAGUAGUCGGGCUGUCAGCAGAAGCACGCGCCCUUGUUUGCUCUUUACUGCUGCACAUGAAAACUCGGCUUCCUCACUGAGAGACGGGGAAUGAAUUUAAAACAUGCCAGCUUGAGUAGUCUUAAGAUGCCAUGUUCCCCUUUUUUGCUAUCUUGAGGAACUGCUGCAUGUGGCCCUCUAAUCAGAGGCCAUAUUUCUAGUAUUUCUUGGGAGUGUCAGCUGUAUAAUAUAGCAGCCGCCCAAUCCUUUAGCCAUCUCUAUAACGACCUCCAUCUGCUUGGUGCAAUUCCUUCCUGGAGGCCACUGCUACUAGAGAUACUGUGGCCUCCAUAAAUCGGCAUUUCAAAGGUAAUUUCACAAGGCAAUAGAUGAACUUCCAACAGAUGACACCUUUGUGCCAUGCCUCAUAGAAUCAUUUUCAGGGCAAGCCAGAAUCCAGUAGGUGGUUUACUCCUGUAUGUUUGGAAGGAAUCUCACAGUUGAAGCCCUAAAUGAAUAAUCUCUCUGGGCUUUUUCCUGGAAAGGGAACCCCCUUAGGGUAGCAUUUGAGUGAGGCGGUUCUUAAAAUCUUAUUGAUUAUUUGUACUUUUCUUCUUAGGAGAAAACCAUGUUUCUGUACUUCUGGGGACAAUCCAUGUCGGUGAGAAAUGACCUUGUCCAAAUUCCAGCAGGAGACAUGCAUUGUCAUGAUUCUAGCUCCUUCGUAGUGUGGUGCAUUGAGUUCACCACUUCCUCAUAUUCUGUUGAAAUAGCUAUUGUGUUCUCAAGACCACAGUGUAGAGAAGCUGGCUUCUAGCUAUUAGGCUUCCAAGCCAAGAGUUUUGUCCUUCCAUCUGCGUUAGUUAUCUAUUGCUGUUUAACACAUUACCCCCAAACUUAACAUCUUAAAAGAGCGAACAUUAUCUGUCAGUUUCUGUGGUUAGGACCUGGGAAGCAGCUUCACAUGAUGGGUCUGGCACAGGGUCAUAGGAAGUUGCAGGCAAGAUGUCAGCGGGGUCUGCAGUCACCUGGGGCUUGAGAAUCCACUUCUGAGCUUUCUUUGUGGCUGUUGGCAAAAUGCCUCAGUGUCUUCCUAUGUGGAUCUCUUUUUAGGGCAGCAUGAGUGUCCUCACAGCAUGGCAGCUGGCUCCCCCUGAGCAAGUGAUCCCAGAGAAAGAGGGCAAGGAGGAAUCUGCAGUGCCUUUUAUGACAGUCUCCGAAAGCACACGUCAUCACGCCUUCGUAUUCCGUUCUUUAGAAGCAAGCCACUAAGCCAGCCUACGCUCAAGGGGAGGGGAGUUACACCCCACCUACUGCAUGGAGCGGUAUCAAAGAAUUUUGGGUAUACUUUAAAACCACCUCACCCCCAAUAGAGGAUGAAACCAGGUCAACAAGAGGGGUAGGUUUAAAGUAGAUGAUAUACUGAGAGAGGUGUUGUUACUGAAAACAGUUCUCUUAAGACGUGCAUCGACAAACAGAUGAAAAACGGAUUCUCUCCCCAUGGCUACUGCCAGUUUUAAGAGGGGAGGCAAGAAAUGGCAAUUCCCAGGAGAAUGUAUCUAUACAUUUGCCUGGUGUAUACUACCAGCAGCCCAAGGUUGCUUCUUUGUAAGUCCUUGGCUUGGUAUCUAAGACUCAAUACUGCUUGCUCGCUCUCUCCUUUAGCCAGGAAUUGACAAAGGGAAUUGGAUCCUUCUAGUUGAGCCACUCAGAUGGACUUAAUUGGAGUCAGGGUUGUUAAGCAAAGGGAGCAAACUUGAAUUACAUUUUGGGUUACGGGGCUGAGGAAAGCUAACCGUUGCGAUUCAGGGUGACAUAGCUGAGAGCAUCCAGAAGCCAGGUCCCCACCAGAGUCGAUGCUUGGCACCUGCUCUCACAAACCACACCAGCUGAAGCAGACUUGGGCCAGGUCUCUCACUCAAGAAGCCACUUCUCAAUAAGUAGGGAACAUCUGGGAAUUUAAAAUGUCUGUCUGUGCUUUAUUGUUCUUUAAAUCCACUGCAGGUUAACUGCGUGCCCACCUCAUCCUGGGCUUCCUGAUGGAAAUGGGUUCUUAAAGAGAACCAAUGCUGUCUUCACCCUGAAGAAAAACUUAGAUGAAGCUUGUCAGUUCAACACGUGUUUAGUGAAUGUCUGCUAUGUGUUUCUGGCACCCGUGCCAAGUUUUUAGAGAUUUCAGACAUCUUAAGGAUGCAAAUUCUUGUUUGGAUUUAUGCUCCAGCUCUUCCCAGCAUUUUCUUAUCUGUAGACCUGCUUGCUUUAGAGUAUACUUGAAUAAAAAAGCAUUGCUGCUGAGGCAGCUAUAAAAAAAAAAAGGUACUUCUUCCAGAAUUAAGGAACUCAUCUUUAAAGCACCUUCAAAUGAAUUUUUUUCCAUCUGAUUUUGAGGUGGAGUCAAAAUAGGUGGUCUUUUAUUUUUGCUGUUUGGGUUACCAGCUCUUUGGGUCUGUCAGACCUUAGGGGUAUCACAUAUCUUGGCUGCUUGAAGCCUGGGCCCGCAGCCCUUUACAUUCCCCUCCAGACGGGAGGCCCGGUGCUUUUCUCUCUGGGUCAAAACUUUCCCUUAUCAUGUUUCUGGACUACAUGAUAAGGGGAGCUAUUUAUUAAUCUGCGAAACCCAAUCUCUUACCUGCCCAUGACAUCUAGGAGGGGGUAGUAUUUGCUUUAAAGAAGUUGUUUCCUUGGGAGGGCAAUUUCUGUCUGGACUUUGAAGGGGGCAUAGUUACCACACAUUACUAUCCCUACCACCACCACGUUCUUUACCUCUGUCCCAGCUUUUAAUAAAAGAUGACAUCAGAUCUUGAGGCAGUUGGGUCACAAUUCUUUAGAAUGCUUAUACCCCAGGGGCAUUUCCUGUUCCAGUCAUGUUUUUCCAGUUGAGUAUUGGCGUUUCCCUGAGGCUUGCUCACAGACAUUUCUGAUUGAAGAUUAAGGAUGGUUGAUACAAUCAUUCAUGUCACCUUUCCCACCCUCUGGAAUUUACAUUUCUUUCUCUGGGCUGGUCCUGGAAGUUGACACCUUUUGGCAAAGCUUAGAUUUAGGAGAAGUCUUUCAAGUCCCUGUUCAGAUGAUCUGUGGUUUCUCUUUGCUUCCUCUGCCUGCAACCCUGGCAGACCAUACUGUCUGGAUCCCAAAUGGAAAAUAGUACUGAGAGGAAACACAUUCCUGGGGUAUUUAAACUCUCACUCUGCCACCUUUCUAAGAGUUGGAGGCUGGCAGAGAGAUGCUGCAGUGCUUGAUAAUCAUUUGGCCACACUGAAAUUUCCAAAGGGAGCUCUUGCCGGUGCUUAAACCCAAAAUUCCUGAACACCUGAGAUUGCAUGAAUCUAGCACAGAAUAUCCAUUCUUGCCCCAAUGUACCCCCUUCCUCUCCAUCUCAAUCUUUAAAACAAAACAAAACAAAAAACCCAAGCCCAGGCCAAGGGUCGUUUUUACUUGAAACCAGGAGAGCGGGGGAGUAACACGGGAGAUGAGGGGCGAGCCGUGUGGUGAGGCACCCUGCUCCGGGUGUCUGUUCCCGUCACUGAGGACUGUGAGCCAGUGCCUUUCCUCCGCCUGGACGUGGAGCCCAUCUCUCCGCCUGGCUGAGGAGACCCUCUGCUACCCAGGGGUGAACCUUCAAGAGGGUGUCUUGGAGAGCCCAGAGGACACUCACAUUUUUCGGGUGUCCAUUUUAAGCAUCUUUAAAAUGUUUUAUAUAUUAAAAAAAAAAAAAUGUUCUUCCCUGUCUUUGUGCAACCAGUGGCCCAGUUCCAUCCAUUCUGAAUGGAAAAACGGAGACUGCCAGUGCUUUCCUUGGUCUUCCCUUCGUCUCCCUUAAUGUGGGUAUCCCCUUACCCGGCCUGUGCAUUGCACUGUCGUGGAUGGAGAACAGAGGGCACCACGCAGUCCUGAGGCAGUCCUGUGUGACUCCGUGAUCAGGUGAAAUCCUGUUGAUACAUUUUGGGCAUCUUGCCUGGUGAGGAAGAUGGGCAAAGGCAGUUGGCCACUUCAUGUGUCAGUUCAUCUCAACAUUUACGGAGCACUUUGUCCAUCUGGCCCUGUAUGUGCCAGGAGGUGAUGUGUCCCUUCCCGAAGGAGCUUGGAGGUGAACACGUACAUGCUGGGGCUGGAUGCACCCAAGAAGGCCCUUCUUUAGGUACCAGCCUGGAGGAAGCCCAGGCAACAGCUUUCCUGACGAGGGCUGCCUCUGCCCCUCAGGAGCACGUGUUAGAAAUCCAUCAUAUCUGAUGUCUGAAAAUAAACUAGACUCUGCUGCGUGAGCAUCA